GAUGAACGCUGGCGGCGUGCCUAAUACAUGCAAGUCGAGCGAACAGACGAGGAGCUUGCUCCUCUGACGUUAGCGGCGGACGGGUGAGUAACACGUGGAUAACCUACCUAUAAGACUGGGAUAACUUCGGGAAACCGGAGCUAAUACCGGAUAAUAUAUUGAACCGCAUGGUUCAAUAGUGAAAGACGGUUUUGCUGUCACUUAUAGCUGGAUCCGCGCCGCAUUAGCUAGUUGGUAAGGUAACGGCUUACCAAGGCAACGAUGCGUAGCCGACCUGAGAGGGUGAUCGGCCACACUGGAGCUGAGACACGGUCCAGACGCCUACGGGAGGCAGCAGUAGGGAAUCGUCCGCAAUAGGCGAAAGCCUGACGGAGCAACGCCGCGUGAGUGAUGAAGGUCUUCGGAUCGUAAAACUCUGUUAUUAGGGAAGAACAAAUGUGUAAGUAACUAUGCACGUCUUGACGGUACCUAAUCAGAAAGCCACGGCUAUCUACGUG
rnacentral:rRNA from 1 species